rnacentral:sRNA from 1 species
UAAGACCCAUGUAUGUAAUGAUUUCACUACUUGGUAUGAUAUGUAAAUCAUAUGGCAUGGUAUGAUAUGUAAAUCCUGGUAGAAGAGUCCCAGCAGCCGAAAUGCUGGGCUUCCUGUGAGGGGCUGGGGCCCUGUCCUAUUGCUUAGUGGUCUGCGUGCAUGGCAGUUACUUCCUGGACCGUGUGUGAGAAGCAAAUGGCAACAGCUUGGCCUUGCCUCUCCAGGAGCCACCGUCACAGACCCCCGGAAGCCAGGAGGUAUAGUGACUCUUGCUGUGCUCCUUGCCUGCCCAUAGGUCCUGGUCCAGUGGCGGGAAGCUGUGUCAGUGCAGAUAUAUUACCGACAGCAGGAGGACUGUGCCAUCUGGGAGGCCCGGAAGGUGCUGGACAGGGGCUGUCUGCGGACCUGGUUUCAGCGCUGGCGGAACUGCAGCCAGAGGUCAGCCCAGCAGAGACUGCAGCUAGAGAGGGCAGUCCAACACCACCACCGGCAGCUGCUGCUGGAGGGGCUGGCCCGGUGGAAGAUGCACCAUCGGGAGUGUGUCAGGAAGAGGCUCCUGCAUAGGCAGAGCACCCAACUCCUGGCACAG